GGUCAUGUAGAAUGGACUGGACUCCCUUCAACUUUAACAUGGAGGUACUUUCUGUUUCUUAAAGUAAGUGCUUCCAUGUUUUAGUAGAAGUGUAUUCAAUUUGACCUUCUGGAUGAA
rnacentral:precursor_RNA from 15 species